ACAGUACACACACACACACACAGAGCGGCGUUCUGGUUUUUUUGUAUAUUUUAUUUUUUUCAUAGACCGUCGCCGGUGUGUGCGUUAGUCAGUUGUUGUGUGCAUCUCGUUUUCCAGCAGUUUAUUAUUAUAAACACACCGUUUGAUGAAGGUUUCUGUAAAUGUGUUGGUUUUUUUUAUGAUUUCUAUACACCUUUAAAAUGCCUCCGUUUUACGCAGUUUAAUUGCACACACACACACACACACAGACACACAUUCACUCACUUUGGUCGUUUGUUGUACUACGUUGCCAAUAAAGGUUGACGUUUUUUUGAAGUUCGCCAAAACGAGCUUUUGGCCCCGCAUGACGAACCAUGUCCUAUCGCUCGUUGGCCGCCGACCGCGUGUACAAAGCGACCACGGACGACCUGCAGCCGGAGCGCAAGAACUCGGUCGGCACCGUAUUUAAAAAGGCUUUUGGCACGCUAAGCUCCAGCCCCCGGCGCAGGCUGUCCGAACCGCUUAUGCCCGGCGUGCCCGCAAUCGGCACCGGCAACGUCAACACUCCACUCAGAAAAAUGCCUACAUCCGCCAUUUCCGAAGAAGCGUCUCUGUUGAGUGGCAUGCGGUCGGAAACACUGGAAGAAGUGGAACUCACUGGAGUUCGUCCAUCUUUGCCCACGGUUCGGAACUUUACCAGAGGCAAUACAGGAGUCGAAGAGGUCUACGUGGACACUGACAACGGUCCGGUGUGCGUGGCUGUGCAAGGCGACCGAUCUAGGCCUCCCAUACUGACUUAUCACGAUUUAGGACUUAACUACAUCACUAGCUUUCAGACAUUUUUCAACUACAGCGAGAUGCGCACCCUCGUGUCUAAUUUUUGUGUAUACCACGUGAACGCACCGGGUCAAGAAGAAGGGGCUGCACCGUUAUCGGACAGUUACGUUUUUCCAACCAUGGACGAGUUGGCGAAUCAGUUGGAUCACGUGCUUAGAUUUUUCAAUCUAGAGUCUGUCGUUGGGCUCGGUGUCGGGGUCGGAGGAAAUAUUUUGGCGCGUUUUGCUUUAAAGCAGCCCACGAAGGUCGAAGCCCUAUGUCUGGUCAACGUGGUGUCGACUCACGCCGGAUGGCUAGAAUACGGUUAUCAGAGAUUGAACAGCAGAUACUUGAAAUCGAAAGGGAUGACACAAGGAGUGAUGGACUACUUGAUGUGGCAUCAUUUUGGAAAGGGCACCGAAGAGAGAAACCACGAUCUGGCUCGAGUUUACAGGGAAUAUUUCGAACACAGCGUUCAUCCCGGCAAUUUGGCUGCUUUCAUAGACUCCUACGUCAGGCGGACCGACCUGGGCAUCAGCAGAAGUACGCCCACAUCAGAGGGAUGUCCGGCUGGUCGAAGGCUCAGCAUGACCACUACGCUUCAGAUGCCCAUAAUCAACGUGUGCGGAGCCUUGUCGCCACACCAAGAAGACACUGUAACACUCAACUCGAGGCUAGAUCCGACGAAAUCAUCAUGGAUGAAAGUUUCCGACUGCAGUAUGGUGUUGGAAGAAGUGCCCCAAAAAAUGUGCGAAGCUCUUCGGCUUUUCCUGCAAGGACUCGGUUACGCUGUGAGAUUAGGCCGACCGCCUUUGACCGUGUCCAGAUCAGCCGAAGGUAAAAAUGACGAUGACGUACUAGCCAAUACAUUUAGCGCACGGAUGCACGUGUAGUUAACGCAAGCACACACACACACACACACACACACACACACACACACAUACACACUCAUACACUCGAAUACAUAUACUUACAAACACACACACACACACACACAGACAUUCAAUCUAUCCUACUCGGUGAAAAAUUUUUUCUUAAAAAUUAUCAUCAUCUUGGAAAAAUAUGAACAAAAAAAAAAACCGUUCAUACAAUUUAUCCAUAGCAAAGGCGAUGAAGCAGUCACAUUCAAAAGACAGUGUUCGCAGUUCGCCGUGGCCGUUCAGAAUCACCGAAAACCCAUUGACAGCGUGAUUCAAAAAUUAUUUUAAAAUUUCAGACGAAAGCGGUCGGUGCUAAAAAAAAAAAAAAAAAAUAGCAAAA